GAGGGUACAGCUCAGUGGUAGAGCGUACGCCUAGCAUGCACAAGAUCCUGGGUUCAAUCCCCAGUAAUUACC
rnacentral:tRNA from 1 species